AAAUUGAAGAGUUUGAUCAUGGCUCAGAUUGAACGCUGGCGGCAGGCCUAACACAUGCAAGUCGAACGGUAACAGGAAGAAGCUUGCUUCUUUGCUGACGAGUGGCGGACGGGUGAGUAAUGUCUGGGAAACUGCCUGAUGGAGGGGGAUAACUACUGGAAACGGUAGCUAAUACCGCAUAACGUCGCAAGACCAAAGAGGGGGACCUUCGGGCCUCUUGCCAUCGGAUGUGCCCAGAUGGGAUUAGCUAGUAGGUGGGGUAACGGCUCACCUAGGCGACGAUCCCUAGCUGGUCUGAGAGGAUGACCAGCCACACUGGAACUGAGACACGGUCCAGACUCCU
rnacentral:rRNA from 1 species